UCCUCAUGAUAUGAUGUUUCACCACAAAUUUAUGACAUCACGACAGGGCACAGUUCUUUCUGGAGUUUGUUCCCAGCUUCAAAUCCUACGCAUCUCACCACCCGCUUGCUCGCGAUCUGAAUCAGUCCACAAGUGUGCCCAAAAUGUCAUCCUCUCUGAAGAGGAGGUACUCUUUAUCAGCCGCAAGCUUGACUUCAGAUCCACCAUACUCGGGCAGAAGAACAGUGUCGCCUUCCUUCAGAGCAACUGGGAUCAGAUUGCCUGCCUUGUCGCGCUCACCAGGGCCAACAGCCACCACUUUAGCAGCAUUCAGCUGCUUGGAUGUUUCCGGGAGGAGGAUGCCGCCGGCGGUCUUCUUGGGCUGCACCAGCUUCUCCACCAGCACCCGGUUCAGCGACGGGAGCAGCCUCUUGGCCAUCGCCGCCCUCCUCUCGUUUCCCUUCUUCUUGCGCAGCAAGACAAAGAAGAAAAAAGCUCGACGCUUCCACAGUUCCACUCGCGGCUCGCCUC
rnacentral:misc_RNA from 1 species